GGGAGAGAGGAGGGGUAAGGAAAAUGAGGGUCCAGUUCAGAUAAGGUAGGAGGUGGGGGAGAAGUACACAGGGUCAGGAAAUUGAAAGGAGGUUUGUAUCCAUCAGAAAGGGGGAACUAGGGGUUCCACUAGAAAUUCCCAGAUGACAGGGACACAAGAGGUUCUCAGGACCCAACAGUGAGGACAUCAGUCAAAAUACCCAACAAAGGGAAGAGAGAUCCUGUAGAGACCAUAUCCAGUAGAUAGGCAUGGCCCCGAGUUGAGGGAUGGGGCCACCCACCUACCUCAAAUGUAUUAAUCUAGAAUUCCUCCUGCUUCCUGUUCUGGCUUUCUUCAGUGAUACAGAAGAGAAUGCCAAAUAAAUCCUUUCCUCCCUAACUCGUUUUUCUUUCAUGGUGAUUCAACACAGCAAAGGAAGCCCUGACUAAGCCAGUCACCAUGGCAAUUUUUUUUUCCUGGUUGAUUUUGAUUAUCUAACCAAGUCCUCAAGCUUACAAUACAAGCACUUUAACAAAUGAGCUUUCCCCAGUCCCAGUCUGUGAGUUUUGUGCCACUGAUGUUAAAAAUCAGCCUCUGGAUAGUAAGCAGGAGGCAUUAUGAUGAGUAGACCCCUUGAACACGUCAUUGCUUAGUGAUGUAGAAAGACGAAUCUUAAGUGUGGGUGGUAUCAUCCCAGGGGCUGUGGUGCUGAACUGGGGAAUAGGAGCUAACACCCUUCUCUCCUUCUCCCCCUCACCAUACCACCCUUGACUUCUUGACUGGAUGCCUUGUGAAGAGCUGUCUCAUGCUAGUGACACCAUGACUCCUCCACCAAGAUGAACUGAAGCUUUGACAUGUAAACUAAAGCAAAGCCUUCUUUCUCAAGUUGUUCUUGUCAGCUAUCUUGUCCCAGCAACAAGGGAACUAAAGAAAUGGUGCUGGACUCUGGUAUAGGUGAGAAGAAAGAGAAAGCUGCAGACCCAGGUAAGUCUCAACAAACACAGGCGAACAGAAAUCACAUCUGCAUUCUAUCGGACUGCCACACAAUAAAAGUGGAUAUCAAUAACCACAGAAAUGUCAAGAAAGCACACAUGCUCAUGGAACCUAAACAACACAUUGUUGAGUGGCAGUUAAGGCAAAAAGAGAAAUCAGAAGAGAAAAGUUUGAAUUCCUAGAAAUGAAAGACAAUGGAAACACAACACACCCAAAUUUACAAAAUGAAAAUACAACAUAUUUAAAUAUGUGGAACACAGGGAAGGCAUCCUACAAACACCCAAAUACACACAACACAAUGAGGGCAUCCUAUGAGCAAAGUUUUCAGCAUUAAGUGCCUACAUCAAUACACUGAAGACAUCUCAUAUUAACAUUUUAAUUAGGGUCUUGAAGUCCUUGGAAAAAUAAAAAUAAACAGGAUCCAAAAACA
rnacentral:lncRNA from 1 species